GCACCAUAGCGGUUGGUUGCCUUUUUAACUUCAGGCAUGGAAAUGUAUUUGAGGUCCCACAUCCAGAUCACUUUGAAGCAAAGUCCAAGCAUUGUAUCACUUCAUCUGUGUUUCAGUAUGUACCUAAAAGACCCCAUCUCUUGUGCAGGAGGGAGCUCAAGUUAGA